CGAGGAAUUCAGUUAUAAAUGGACCAAGGAGCAGACGGCUGCAUUUAUAAAAUUACGGGCCGAAAAUGACCACUUGUUUACAGGGGCCAAAAACUCGGCCACUGUGGCUUGGAGGAGAAUUCUGGAGAAAAUGGACCUGCUAGGGAAGGUCACUCCCUUGCAGGCCAAAAGAAAAUGGGACAACUUAAAAAAAAAAAUACAAAGAAAGCAAGUUAAUUGACACAUCUU